GAUGAAGAACGCAGCGAAAUGCGAUAACUAAUGUGAAUUGCAGAAUUCAGUGAAUCAUCGAAUCUUUGAACGCACAUUGCGCCCGCCAGUAUUCUGGCGGGCAUGCCUGUUCGAGCGUCAUUUCAACCCUCAAGCCCUCGGGUUUGGUGUUGGGGAUCGGCGAGCCUUUCUGGCAAGCCGGCCCCGAAAUCUAGUGGCGGUCUCGCUGCAGCCUCCAUUGCGUAGUAGUAAAACCCUCGCAACUGGAACGCGGCGCGGCCAAGCCGUUAAACCCCCAACUUCUGAAUGUUGACCUCGGAUCAGGUAGGAAUACCCGCUGAACUUAAGCAUAUCAAUAAGCGGAGGA
rnacentral:misc_RNA from 1 species